CGGUAAUACGGAGGAUCCAAGCGUUAUCCGGAUUUAUUGGGUUUAAAGGGUGCGCAGGCGGAAGAUUAAGUCGGCGGUGAAAUUUUGCAGCUCAACUGUAAAAGUGCCAUCGAUACUGGUUUUCUUGAGUGUGGAUGAAGUAGGCGGAAUUUGUGGUGUAGCGGUGAAAUGCAUAGAUAUCACGAGGAACUCCGAUUGCGCAGGCAGCUUACUAGGCCAUAACUGACGCUCAGGCACGAAGGCGUGGGGAUCAAACAGGAUUAGAUACCCUGGUAGUCCACGCAGUAAACGAUGAUUACUCGCUGUUUGCGAUACACAGUAAGCGGCUUGGCGAAAGCGUUAGUAUCCCCUGGGGGAGUACGUUCCCAGAAUGAAACUCAANGAAUUGACGGGGACCCNCACAAUUANCGNAACAUGUGGUUUAAUNC
rnacentral:rRNA from 1 species